rnacentral:rRNA from 1 species
UACGUAGGGUGCAAGCGUUAAUCGGAAUUACUGGGCGUAAAGCGUGCGCAGGCGGUUUUGCAAGACAGAUGUGAAAGCCCCGGGCUCAACCUGGGAACUGCAUUUGUGACUGCAAGGCUAGAGUGUGUCAGAGGGAGGUGGAAUUCCACGUGUAGCAGUGAAAUGCGUAGAGAUGUGGAGGAACACCGAUGGCGAAGGCAGCCUCCUGGGAUGACACUGACGCUCAUGCACGAAAGCGUGGGGAGCAAACAGG